rnacentral:rRNA from 1 species
GAUGAACGCUGGCGGCGUGCCUAAUACAUGCAAGUCGAGCGAACGGACGAGAAGCUUGCUUCUCUGAUGUUAGCGGCGGACGGGUGAGUAACACGUGGAUAACCUACCUAUAAGACUGGGAUAACUUCGGGAAACCGGAGCUAAUACCGGAUAAUAUUUUGAACCGCAUGGUUCAAAAGUGAAAGACGGUCUUGCUGUCACUUAUAGAUGGAUCUGCGCUGCAUUAGCUAGUUGGUAAGGUAACGGCUUACCAAGGCAACGAUGCAUAGCCGACCUGAGAGGGUGAUAGGCCACACUGGAACUGAGACACGGUCCAGACGACUACGGGAGGCAGCAGUAGGGAAUGUUCCGCAAUGGGCGAAAGCCUGACGGAGCAACGGCGCGUGAGUGAUGAAGGUCUUCGGAUCGUAAAACUCUGUUAUUAGGGAAGAACAGAUGUGGAAGUAAAUGUGCACAUCUUGACGGUACCUAAUCAGAAAGCAACGGCUAACUACGUG